GCAUCAAUCUCUUUGCUGGGUGGAUAUUUUGGCAAGCUCGAUGGAUCACAUGCAUAAGGUUUUGCGGUGAAAUACUCAGAUGCUAGAGCAGAGGUAGCAGUCCCACGCUUGCUCUACAGACAGAAGUGUUUCUAUCAGGUUCACAGCAGUUGCUGGCAAAUCUUUGAAGGUCUCACGAAGACAGCUAUCAUAAGGUUGUUGUGGUUUGAAUAAAGUUGCA
rnacentral:misc_RNA from 1 species